CGCGCGAAGUGACUUUGCGCGACGAAUUAUUUUUCAUCGCGCAAAAUGUGGUCGCGCAAGACUUUGAGUGACGAGUUUCAAGUUUCGUCGCGCAAAAUGACUUUGAGCGACGAAUAAUUUUUCGUCGCGCAAAAUUUGGUCGCGU
rnacentral:pre_miRNA from 1 species